rnacentral:tRNA from 1 species
UGGGAUGUAGCUCAGCAGUAGAGUACUUGCCUAGCAAGUAAAAGGUCUUGAGUUCAAUCCCCAGCACUGCAA